GAAGAAAUGAAAGACAUAUGAAAUGACCCUAAGACAGAGAUUCCUGAGCAUAAGUCAUUCAUAUGACCAACUUUUCUAACUUCUCUCUAUAACAGAGGUAAGUGAAGGCCUCACCUUUUCACUCUCACUUCUCUUUGUGAACUUCAUUCCUACUUUUCAGAAUUGUUUUUACCCUUGUUAUAAGCCUCUAGCAAAGUUAAAUACUAUCUGAUCUUCUAUCUACCAAGCUUGCUCGAGUGAAGAACGAAAAUCAAUCACUGUACUAAAGUGAUAAUUAUUAGGAGUUGGUCCUUUUAGCCAAAAUGCCUCUGUUAUCUUUAGGUUGUUUAGGUAGUGGUAGUACUGAAAAUGAAAUAGAAUUAGAAAUACUUUUCAAGAAGAUAAAUGAUUGGAAACUUCCGAGAGUCCCAAUUAAUCAAAUUUACAAGCAAAGAUUUUCAUUCUUCAAAAGUACUCAUGACCACACCAUAGGCACCAUAGAACAAACAAUCAACAUAUCCAAAGAGCAAGAAACUAUUCAACUUCUUUCAAAGAGUCGAUUUGAAUUUCUGAGAAGAAAAUUCAGUCAUCUCCACUUAGGGUUGGUCCAAGUUGCUAUCAAACCAAUGUCACAAGAAAGUCUGAGCACUUCUGUCCUAAUGAGUCUUAGAGAUUGUAGGUACCUAAAUUUCAAGCGAUCUCUGUUGAGAGGUGUGGAGACCAAUCUUUGUAAUGGACCAGUAUAUUUCGAUUAUUAUCCAAACUAUAUUGUGUCAUUAGGGGAUCCACCCCUUGAAGUCUUGACUCUCAAUAUCAAAACUGGAUCUUUACCUGUGGCAUUGAUAUAUAGAGUUAUUUACAAGGUCAUAACAACUGAAGAACUAAAUGAAAUACGUUGGCUUCUUAAUGCUGGAUUAAUAAGUGAGGUUGGAUUAAAAACGAGUACUUAUGAAUUAGCAGAGGUAAUGCAUGUAGAUCUAACUAGAUCUAGGAAACCGAAGCCAAGAAUCAUUCGACUCGAACAAGUUAAUUUUCCAGAGAGUUGGAAAGGUACGUGAUCAAGAAGGGUGUGCAGAAAACGAAGAAAACUUGGGUGAGAAUUGAACACUAUUAAUGAAUGUGCAUCUCGUCAUCUACGUACCUUUAAGUUGAUCCCUAUUUGUCUUCAUAGCUAAUUUAUUAGUACGUUAAAGUAUGUAAGAUAUUCUAAGUUUUAUGCUCAACUAAAUUGUAGUAUUUUUAUGUAUUAUGUAUGACAUUAUAAGGCAUUGAUUUGAAAUGAAUGAUAUGCUAAACUCUCUUAUAA